GCUGGGCAUGGUGGCGUGUGCCUGUAAUCCCAGCUACUCAGGAGGCUGAGGCAGGAGAAUUGCCUGAACCCAGGAGGGGGAGGUUGCGGUGAGACGAGAUCCCAUCACUGUACUCCGGCCAGGGCAACAGAGUGAGACUCCAUCUUUUUUUGGGAUGGAGUUUCGCUCUUGUUACCCAGGCUGGAGUGCAAUGGCGCGAUCUCGGCUCACCGCAACCUCCGCGUCCUGGGUUCAAGCAAUUCUCCUGCCUCAG
rnacentral:SRP_RNA from 1 species